rnacentral:lncRNA from 1 species
CCCCUUUAAUUCUGAAAGGAACCUUUUUGUCUAAUUGCUUCCUCCCCCUGUGAAAAGCCUUAGUUUUCACAACAGUGGCUGUGAGAAGGUGCUCUAAAUAUGGAACAUCCUGCUUUCUUUUAAAUGCACUGUAAAACACUCCUCUCUGCCGCCUCUGUAAACAGCUCCAGGCUCGCCAGUUCACAUCAAAUCUCUCCCUCUUGGGAACCUCUCUGGACCUCUCGGGGCACCCGGCCUAGAGCUUGCUCCUCUCUGAGGCCCUGGUGGGUUUUCUUUUUCUGCUCCACGUGACUGGGGACAGCCUCUGAGGAGGCUUCUUACGGGGCACCAUGCGACUGGAACCCUUGGGCAGGCUGUUCCCUCCUUGGGCAAGCUGUUCCCUCCUUGGGCAGACUGUUCCCUCCUUGGGCAGGCUGUUCCCCCCUUGGGCCGGCUAUUCCUUCCUUGGAAGGCUAUUCCCUCCUUGGAAGACUGCUCAGUCAACAGGCCCAGGAAGGAGCUCAGGGCAGUGAGUCCCAGCCUGAGCCGCUGGUGCUGGGCGCUGGGUCUGUCUGCUCACCACUGUGCGGCCUGUCCUCAUGCCCUGGCAGAGAGCGGGCAGUGCCAGGAGGAGGGCAGCCCAGACCCGGGGCGGGGAGCAGUGCCCGGGGGGCCUGGUCCCGCCCCAGCUGCACACGGGCGCUACGGCCCCAUCGGCUGAGUCUGCCCUGUGGACAUGCCCCACGCCUGCCAGUCCAGCCUUCCCCUCCGUGGGAAAUGCUGCUCUUGCAGGGGACUGAGUCCCAGGCACCCUCGGACGUUCCUGCCUCGCACAAACAGCUCUCCUUUGUCUGGGCCACCUGCCCGUCGAAGGCCUGGCUUCUGUGCACUUUGCGGCUCUCACCCCAUCGCCGUCUGUCAGGAGCAGAGUGGGCUCUGCCGCAGGAUUCCUGUCCCGCUCGUGUCUCCUGCGCUCUGUGCAGAGGCAGUGGGACGGCAAGGGCUCCAAAACGAAUCCCCUCGUUUUCUCUUUCUGGCUCCUGUGAAAUCCGAGCUGAGAAUUUGUUGCAUCCCAUUCCGCGGACUUUCGUCACGUCCUUGGUUUUAGAGGACAGAGGUGUGAAUCCAUAGGCACAGGGAGCAGAUAAAAUCCGACCACGGUGGGGCCGCCCGGCCUCUGCUGCCAGCGCUGUUCUCGGCUUCCCGUCUGAGCUGCUCCUGGGCACCAC